GCUGGGUGUGGUGGCGCAGGCCUGUAAUCCCAGCUACUUGGGAGGCUGAGGCAGGAGAAUCACUUGAACCUGGGAGGUAGAGGUUGCAGUGAGCCAAGAUGGAUUGCACCACUGCACUCCAGCCUGGGUGACAAAGUGAGACCCUGUCUCAA
ensembl:misc_RNA Metazoa_SRP Metazoan signal recognition particle RNA